rnacentral:misc_RNA from 1 species
GAUGAAGAACGCAGCGAAAUGCGAUAAGUAAUGCGAAUUGCAGAAUUCCAGUGAGUCAUCGAAUCUUUGAACGCACAUUGCGCCCUUUGGUAUUCCGAAGGGCAUGCCUGUUCGAGCGUCAUUAUCACCCCUCAAGCCCUCGGCUUGGUGUUGGACGGUUUGGUGGAGGCCCCCUCGGGGGCUCCUGCCCCUCCCAAAGACAAUGACGGCGGCCUCGUUGGACCCCCGGUACACUGAGUUCUUCACGGGACACGUAUCGGACACAUGGGUUUACGGGACACGGUCUGCCUCCCCUCAGGGAGAAUCUUUCUAAGGUUGACCUCGGAUCAGGUAGGGAUACCCGCUGAACUUAAGCAUAUCAAUAAGGGAGGA